AUAACGAAGAGGGGAGCCAUGAUCCCCCUCAAAGGAGCGGGAGAAGACCGCGGGCCCGCCUUCCAUCGCCUCAGGACUAGGCCUGAGAAUAAUGUCGUCCCUUCCAGGGCCUGAGGCCUCCCCGUUCCUCUUCGAGCGGGAGCUGGGGCGCCGCCGUGAGCAGGGCCCGGGGCCCGGCCUUCGCGUGGCGCAGCGCUCGGCCGGAGGGACCGGGUCGGUGGUGUGGGACGCCGCCCUGGUCCUGGCCCGCUUCCUGGAGAAGGAGAGCGAGGCGGCCUCCUCCUCCUCGCUAGGCCUCAGCCUCCCCCGCGCGGAGGUACUUGAGCUGGGCGCCGGCACAGGCCUCGUAGGCCUCAUGGCCGCCUGCCUCGGGGCAAAUGUUACUGUCACGGACCUCGAGGAAGUUCAAGACUUGCUGAAGAUGAACAUUGAGAAUAAUUGGCACCUUAUCACAGGUUCCAUUCAAGCCAAGGUACUGAAAUGGGGUGAAGACGUAACAGAUUUCCUUCCUUCACCUGAUUACAUUCUGAUGGCAGACUGCAUCUACUAUGAAGAGUCCCUGGAGCCAUUGCUCAAGACCUUGAAGGACCUCUCCAGCCCUAAUACCCACAUCCUUUGCUGCUAUGAAGAGAGGACAAUGGGGAAAAACCCAGAGGUGGAGAAAAGAUAUUUUGAGUCAGGCAUACACCGCAAUGGGACCAAAGACCUGUGAUUUAUGAAGUUUGAUUCUGAUGCCAUUUUAAAUCACAGCUUCUCCAGAAGGACUUUGACUUGGAAAAGGUUCCCUUGAAUGAGCACGAUGAAGAGUAUCGUAGUGAGGACAUUCAUAUCUUUAUCAUCCGAAGGAAAAUAAUGAAUUGUUCAUCAUGACAUCUUUGAUGCUGUUUCUGAUGGUCUGGCAGCUGAGGAAAGACACAACUAAGAGUUCUUCACAGAUACUGUGAAGAACAUUUCUGCAGCAAAACUGGAUCAGCGUGCAGCCUCCUGCUGAGAUGAGACAUGCAGACAGUUUUCUUGAAAGAGCUAAAAACACGAACUCUGGGCUUUGGGCUAUUUCUUGGCACGGGAGCUGGUUGUAGAAGAGUAGAAGACUCGGAAAUCAAAUGAGCAUAGAUACAUAACGCAAAAGGUCAGAUGAGUGCUUUAGCUCUUAGAUUUAUACAAACCAUCUAGCCCUUCUACUGUAAUGAUUUGUUUUGGUAUCAAUUGUUUGUUUAUAAAAGUAACUAUAAAGAUAUGAGUUAUUAAACUCUUGUUCUUUCUAGUGCACUGGAAGUGAUAUCACCUCUCUCUUUUCCAUGAUGUCACCACAUGGCUUGAGAUAAUUUUGCUGAUUAAAGAAUGUGCUAAAAAAUAGGUCAAGAGACACAGAUCUGCCCAUGUAUGAAACUGUGAAAAAACAAGCAAGGGAAAGGUGAAGAUUAUAGCUGGAAUUUUUUGGGUGACAUGCAUGCAUGUAACUGCAUCUGUUUUUUCAAUGUUGCACAAGGAGCUACUCACUAGCUCCUCCUGCAAGCCCUCUCCCAAGUAACUGCGAUCACAAAAGUACUGCAUUGCUGUUUACUGGCCUUUACCGUGUGUGUGUGUGUGAGACCAAGCAGCACCCAUCCUAGCUGCAGUUCUGCAACAGGGGAAGGAGAGCAGUUGCAUACAUCUUUCUGGAGGUCGGGGAAAGAGACCUCAUGUCAACAACUGCUGUUUCCCUUAGGAGUUCACUUUGAACAAACCUUCUGUAUAGUAAACAGUAAAAACGUUAUUCCAGAAAACCCUUAGCUGUUAACAGGAAGACAUCUGAGGACAGAAGUGCCAUCAUCCCCCACCACAGGCCUAACAUUAACAUUACCCUUCCUAUAAACUUCACGGGCUUCAUAAUAAUUAAUUAACUAAUUAAAACAUACCAACCCUCUUCUCCACAGCCCAUUGUUUCGCUCAGCCCCCAGUACAGUUGUUCCCAUCUUUACUUGCUGGCAGAAUCUGAAAAAAUUCUUCCUGCACACAUUUGCACAUUCCAGCGCCAGGCACCAAACACCCUUUGAAGCACCACCCAUCAUCUCUACUAAGGCUACACCUCCCAUCGUUCUUUUCUGUAAUUAAAACAUAACAAAACUCAAGUAUGACAAAAUAUGCCAUAUUCUGACACCUCAUUC